UGAGUGAUUCAUGAUAGUGAUAGAUUUUUCAAAAACUAUCAUAUUUACAUUAAGAUACAUCAAACUAAAUACUUGAUCACAGUUAUAAAUGGAUUUCAUGCAUAGUUGAUUAAAAAAUGAAUUCAAUAUAUACUGAAACAGUCAACAAUAUCCAUUGUAAGGUGUCUGUACGUGCAGGUGAUUUUUUAAGAAGGCCCGCACUCUCCUUGAAUGUGAAUUAUAAAAUUUUGAACAUCUAGUAUCAAAGAGUAAAAAUCAAUUAAAAAACCCAUGGGUUAUUUUAAUUACGAAUAGAUAUUGUGAUUUUAAAUUAUGUAAAAACAUGAAAUUCUAGUUAUCUCCCUUGGCACUCUUUAGUAAAAGGAGUUGGAAAGAGUGUAUCUAACUCUUCAGUUUAGAAGGGGAGGAUUAAGAAAUGUGUGAUUUCAUCUUCAUUUUGGAAGUUUUGCCAGUUUUCAUACAUCCAAGGGGCAUUAGCUCGCUGCUGGGGAUUAGAGUAUGAUGAGUAUCUCUCCUUUCCGUCGAUACUCCCUUAGUACUGCAAUAUACACAGUCGACUGGAAGAAAUCCUCGACCUCAUGCAGCAUACAUGAAGCCAUAGCAAGAAGCAUUGAAAGCCACAGUAGAGAUUGGAUGGAGCAUAAUUUUUUCUAUGUCUUGGCGCCUCUAUGGAUGUCAUAUUUAGAUCAGAUGCAAUCUGAGCCUUGUUCUGAAUUUCAAAAUCCCCUUUGACAACACCUGCACAGCUGAGAUUGAUGAAUGAACCACAUGCAUUAUGUCAGAGGAAUCUAGCUGGAGCACCUAUUUAGCAGUCAGGACACAUAGAUGUACCUGUACAGUUGAUACAGAUAAUCUCAACGGCACAUUUCUAAAUGAUGGCCAAAAAAUCUAAUAAAGACACUGUCAGUUUAAAACUUUUUGAAAGAAAUCCAGACCAGAAACAAAGGAUAUUGAUUUUUAAGCUCCUCCAAAUGUAAAAGGGGUUUUAUUGAAACCAAGACCAGGAUACAUCCAAGGAUAUUUAAUAUUACACCCCUUCAACAUAAAAUUUUGAAUUUUAGUUUGCCUAUCUAGUCAAGAACAUGGAUUUUUUGACAUUUGAUACACUUUAUAAUGUUAUAUUGACAUUUUUUUCAAGAUUUCUUUACUGUAAACUAUGUAUUUCAGCAAAAAGUACAUUUACAGAUGAUUUUUCAAAAAUUGCUUUAAAAAUACAAUUGAAAUAUUUAGAUCAUGUCUCAUAAAUGGUUAAUCACAGUUACCACAGAAACCAAAUAUUUGUUUUAAAGAAGUUAGGAACAAAAAGAAAAUGUUGUGUCUUUCAUUAUUUUAGCUAAUGGCCACUCAUACAGUUUUCUUCAUACAAACUCAUCACAUUGACUACAUUGUAUAGGCAAAUGCAAUAUUUUUGGAGAUGUUGUCAUGGUAACCAGAUACAAAUCACAAAAGCAUAUUGAAAAAAAAUAUUUUCAUGGGUUUACAAUAAACUGUGAAAUAAUACAUGUAUGUUAGUCAAUAAUUUUUUGUAUUUUUUGGAGAUUUUGUAAAGUCAAUUUAUUUAAAAAAGCAUUUCCAGAAUAAUUUGUUACCAUGGUUACAAAAUUUUAUGAGAAAUCCACUGGUUUUAUCUUAUAUUUGCAAGGUU